UUGGCAGCCAUCAGACAUGUUGGAUUCUUCAAAUCAGGCCAAACUUCUAAUACCUCUUCUUUGUACUUGUCAAACAUCUAAAACAAAAAUUAGUUAAAUACAAAUAUAUGAUUAAAAAUAGUUGCAUAUAUAUAUAUAUCAAAGAUACCUUAUUGAAGUUAGCCUCGUCAAAAAGUUUAUCAUGAUCAUUUUUCAAUUGUUCAUAUGUAAGAACAGGUCUUGGAGUGGGCCAUAAAUCGUGUGUAUACAUCGUCUCCUUGAGCUCCUCUAUCUUAGCUCCACGCAUCGUGAAGGGCCAACGCACCGAAAAUGUGAAUCAUUUGGGACCAAUAUCUUUAUAAUACUCGUCCAUAUGUACCUUCUCAAAUAUGUCACAAUUCAUAUUCUCCCGUCUACAAUUUGAACAUAUUUGGCUUCAAAAAAGUUAGCAAAUGCUUAAUCUACAAAAGAAAUACAUUCAAUUCACAAUGCAUAGCUAUUUUUCCUCCAUGAUGUUUCUUAAGAACAGUAGAAGCUAAUCCAUUACUCUGAAGGAGAGAAUACAAAGGCCUUUAAGUGUAAAGUGUUAAACUAAUCUUCAACACAUAGUCAAUUUCUCAAAGAUCAAUCAGCUUUAUUAUAUUAGGCUGGCACAAUAAUCAGCUUCCUUUUUAAAUGUUGAAUACACAUUUCCAAACUCUCUAUUAUGAACAUGUUGGUAUCUUUAUUAGGCAACAACUAGAAUCUUUUCAAUCAAUUAUCUCUCUAGCCCACAAAAGAGAUCACGUUUAGAACAAUUCAAUAAUCAACUUGAGCAAUAUCUCUACAACUCCAAGAGUAAGCCAUAUAUAUUGUUUAAACAUGCAAGCAUCAACUGCAAUAGUACCUCUCUAAGGUUCCAAGAGAUGCUUGGCCUGCAUUUUGGGACAUACUUUCCGGCAAAGACCACGCUACGUGAUCACUAGCUAUGGCAUUGGCCUGAGAUUGUUAAACAAAUGUGAUUGCCUCAGACAAACCAUGGAUACAUUAUAUUUAAUCUUGCUAAAACAUUCAAUUAUAACAACUAAGUUGUAGCCAAACCUGACUUUGUACGAGGUUAAGAACUUGAGAACCAAUAGAAACACUUGGUAAAGUGUGCUUCAUCAUUGUGGAUAAAUCUUGCAUUGACCCCAACAUUGGCUGCAAGAAAUGGUUAGAAAAAGUUAAAAUAUCUCUGAUAUUUACUUUGAUAACAAAACACAACAUCAUAUUCCUGAUUGGGCACCAAUAUUCAUGAGUCAAGUUGUGGCCCGUGUUGGAUAUUACAUAUUUAUCUAAUAGCGGAAUUGUCAUAGCCCAAAACCAUUUAUUUUCUUUGCAAUUUUUAUUUGGAAAUUAUUAAAUUUUCAAGUCAUUAAAAUAUAUAUCUAUGAGUCGAAUUUGUGAAUUAUAUAGUCGCGCCCCUAGUUAGAUAAAUAAAUUUAAAUUACAGAUUAUAAUUUUAGAAUUUUAAGCUCAAAUAUUUAUUUAAAUUUGAGCUUCUUUGAUGAUUGGGCCUAAUUGUAUAUAUGCUCCCUUUAAGUUGAACCUUAUUAUUUAUAUACUUGCAUUGGGCUAGAUUUUAAUAAAAAGCACAUAACAUUUAGUUGAUUAUCAGCAUUUUUCCAGCCACAAUUUCUGAUUUCUUGGAGUAAUAACGUGUACCCUUUCUCAUCCACCAAAUUAUUUUCAAAAUCUUAUACUCCCUCCGUUCACCAAUUAAAGCCCCAUUUGAGUGUCGGCGCGGAAACUAAGAAAGCUGAAAAAGGUGGUCUAAAAGUGGUGUAAAAGACUAAAAGGGUAGUGUUAUUUUAUAAGCUAUUUCCUUCUUUCUUUUUUUACUCUUUAAUUAAAUAAACUGAAAACUGGAAAUAAAUAAACUGAAAUUCAGAAAAUAAAUAAACUGGAAUUAAAUAAAUAAAUAAACUGAAAAUUCGAAAAUAAAUAAAUAAAUUAAUUAAAAUCUGGAAAAUUAUUUUUUUUAGAAAAUAAAUAAACUGGAAUUAAAUAAAUAAAUAAACUGAAAAUUCGAAAAUAAAUAAAUAAAUAAAUUAAAAUCUGGAAAAUUAUUAUUUUUAGAAAAUAAAUAAACUGGAAAUAAAUAAAUAAAUAAACUGAAAAUUCGAAAAUAAAUGAAUAAACAAACUGAAAAUUCAGAAAAUAAAUAAACUGGAAAUAAAUAAACUGAAAUUCGAAAAUAAAUAAAUAAAUAAAUUAAAAACUGGAAAAUAAUUUUUUUAGAAAAUAAAUAAACUUAAAGUUCGAAAAUAAAUAAAUAAACUGAAAAUUCAGAAAAUAAAUAAACUGGAAAUAUUUAAAUAAAUAAAUAAACUGAAAAUUUGAAAAUAAAUAAAUAAAUAAACUGGAAUUAAAUAAAUAAAUAAACUGAAAAUUCGAAAAUAAAUAAAUUAAUUAAUUAAAAUCUGGAAAAUUAUUAUUUUUAGAAAAUAAAUAAACUGGAAAUAAAUAAAUAAAUAAACUGAAAAUUCGAAAAUAAAUGAAUAAACAAACUGAAAAUUUAGAAAAUAAAUAAACUGGAAAUAAAUAAAUAAAUAAACUGAAAAUUCAGAAAAUAAAUAAAAUGGAAUUAAAUAAAUAAAUAAACUGAAAAUUCGAAAAUAAGUAAAUAAACUGAAAAUUCAGAAAUUAAAUAAGCUUGAAAUAAAUAAAUAAUUAAACUUAAAAUUUGAAAAUAAAUAAAUAAAUAAACUGAAAAUUUGAAAAUAAAUAAAAAAUAAAUAAACUGGAAAUAAAUAAAUGAAUAAAUAAACUGGAAUUAAAAUAAUUCAGAAGAUAAAUAAAUAAAUAAAUAAACUGAAAAUAAAAAAUAAAUAAACUGGAAAAUAAAUUUUUUAGACAAAGGGUUGUAAUUUAAAGUAAAGAGAGAGGGUAAAAGGGUACAAAAAACACAAUAGGGCUUUAAUUGGUGGACAAAAAUUUAAGGGCAAGUAGGGCUUUAAUUGGUGGACGGAGGGAGUACAACAAGUACCAUUUUACUUUUUUUCUUUUUUUGAUCGGAAAAAGUACCAUUUUACUACUCUUGUGCAGUACACUAUUAAUCCGCCGCCUCAUUUCCUUUUUCAUGUUAACUCCUAUCACUUUCUGGAAAUCAUUCGAAAAACUCAGCUGGCCUCUUGUUCUGUUCCUUUAACUUCAAGUGGUAAUUUUAAAUAUUUAUGUAAAACUAUGUAGUUUCAUUCCAGUGCAUACUAUUAAAUUUAUUUUUUUUUUCAGAUUCUUGCUUUGUUUUGAAAAACCAUUACACUGCAUAAUAAAAUAAAAGAAGGCAGACGCAUAAUUAAUACAUAAGAAAAUAGAAUAGAUUGAAAGAGGAGCAGUGGUUUAGAAUUUAGACAGGAGAUAGAAGAGGGGGGAAACGGUUGAACAGCGCCGCCGGCGCUUCGCGCCACGGCGGCUGGCGGGAGGAGACAGGGACGGUGGCCUCAGCCGCUGUUGUGUUGUUCCGGUCGGACAAAGGGAGGAGGUGGCUGGACGGCGCUGCUGCGAUGGCAGUUGCUGCUGUUGUAGGCAAGACGGAAAUAAGGAAAAGGUAGUGACGCUAGCAGGCGGCGAAGGUCGCCGCCGGAGAAAGGAGGGCCCGCGGCCCGCCGGAAACAGACAAGGGGGGAGAGAUGAGGAAGAGGGAGAGAAGUCGCCGGAGAUGAAGAGAUGAGGGAAGAGGGAGAGAGGUUGAGGAGAGGACACAUAUUUAAAUUGAUAUAAGCAUGAUUAUUUGUAUUGUGGAUGAUUUAAUUUUAAUAUUAGCAUGAUUGUUUGAUGAUUUUCGUACCCUCAAUUUUUGACAAUUUAUGUUCAUGAACUUUUCCGAGUUUAAAAGUAUUUCAGGUCAUUAUCUUAGGGCGAUUUGCAAAAAUAGGCUACUAUUUUUCGGACUUGUAAAAAUAGGCCAAUUAUUUUAGUUUUUGGUAUUUUUAGGCCACAUGUGUACCCAAUCAGACUAUUUUGGGCCACAUUUUGACUCCAAAAAGUGGCCUAUAAAUGCUGAAUUGAGCUCAAAUGUGGCCUAAAAAUGCCAAAAUCUAAAAUAAUUGGCCUAUUUUUGCAAGUCCGUAAAAUAGUGGCUUAUUUUUGCAAAUCACCCUAAGAUAAUGGCCUUCAAUAAUUUUAAACUCAACUUUUCCUAAUACAGACCCUUUAACAAUAAAUUUGAAUUGAAAAUCUGUGAGCACUUAUGCCAAAUAAAUUAUAUGAUGCCCAAUAUAACAAUAAGGAUCCAAAAUAACAUAAUAAGGAACCGAGCUUCACACUUAUGGACCGAGCUCGAUUCAACUCGACUUGUAUACAUCCCUGCAUUCAACACCAUGUAAUUAACCUCAUUGUCUAUAUUUGUUCUCACAUAUACUGCACAUUCCUUCACAGUAAAGAAACAAAAACUUCAAACUGCUCCCUCGUUACUAGCUAGUUACUCGCAAAUGGGUAGGCGUAGGAGAAAAGAUAAAUCCCACCGAGGUUCAACUAGUAAUCCUCAGGAGGAUCCCGUUGCAGAGGAGCCUGUUGAAAUAAAACCAGCUGCACCCGGAGUUCCACCCGAAAUAAUGGAAUAUGACGUUCGUUAUGAGUACGAUUCAAGUACUCGUCACAGAGUGGUUGCACAAUUUGAUCAAAGGCGCCCAAAACCACUUUGACGAAUGCUAGAGUAUAUCUCAGGAAUUGUCACAGCCCAAAACCAUUUAUUUUCUUUGCAAUUUUUAUUUGAAAAUUAUUAAAUUUUCAAGUCAUUAAAAUAUAUAUCUAUGAGUCGAGUUUGUGAAUUAUAUAGUCGUGCCCCUAGUUAGAUAAAUAAAUUUAAAUUACAGAUUAUAAUUUUAGAAUUUUAAGCUCAAAGGUAUUAAUUUAAAUAUGAGCUUCUUUGAUGAUUGGGCCUAAUUGUAUAUAUGCUCCCUUUAAGUUGAACCUUAUUAUUUAUAUACUUGCAUUGGGCUAGAUUUUAAUAAAAAAGCCCAUAACAUUUAGCUGAUUAUCAGCAUUUUUCCAGCCACAAUUUCUGAUUACUUGGAGUAAUAACGUGUACCCUUCCUCAGCCACCAAAUUAUUUUCAAAAUCUUAUACAGCAAGUACCAUUUUACUUUUUUUUUUUAAUCGGAAAAAGUACCAUUUUACUACUCUUGUGCAGUACACUAUUAAUCCGCUGCCUCAUUUCCUUUUUCAUGUUAACUCCUAUCACUUUCUGGAAAUCAUUCGAAAAACUCAGCUGGCCGGCCUCUUGUUCUGUUCCUUUAACUUCAAGUGGUAAUUUUAAAUAUUUAUGUAAAACUAUGUAGUUUCAUUCCAGUGCAUACUAUUAAAUUUAUUUUUUUCAGACUCUUGCUUUGUUUUGAAAAACCAUUACACUGCAUAAUAAAAUAAAAGAAGGCAGACGCAUAAUUAAUACAUAAGAAAAUAGAAUAGAUUGAAAGAGGAGCAAUGGUUUAGAAUUUAGACAGGAGAUAGAAGAGGGGGGGAAACGGUUGAACAGCGCCGCCGGCGCUUCGCGCCACGGCGGCUGGCGGGAGGAGACAGGGACGGUGGCCUCAGCCGCUGUUGUGCUGUUUCGGUCGGACAAAGGGAAGAGGUGGCUGGACGGCGCUGCUGCGAUGGCAGUUGCUGCUGUUGUAGGCAAGACGGAAAUAAGGAAAAGGUAGUGACGCUAGCAGGCGGCGAAGGUCGCCGCCGGAGAAAGGAGGGCCCGCGGCUGGGAGCGGUGAGGGGAAACAGACAAGGGGGGAAAGAUGAGGAAGAGGGAGAGAAGUCGCCGAGAUGAAGAGAUGAGGGAAGAGGGAGAGAAGUUGAGGAGAGGACACAUAUUUAAAUUGAUAUAAGCAUGAUUAUUUGUAUUGUGGAUGAUUUAAUUUUAAUAUUAGCAUGAUUGUUUGAUGAUUUUCUUACCCUCAAUUUUUGACAAUUUAUGUUCAUGAACUUUUCCGAGUUUAAAAUUAUUUCAGGUCAUUAUCUUAGGGCGAUUUGCAAAAAUAGGCUACUAUUUUACGGACUUGCAAAAAUAGGCCAAUUAUUUUAGUUUUUGGCAUUUUUAGGCCACAUUUGAGCUCAAUUCAGCAUUUAUAAUAGUCUGAUUGGGUACAUAUGUGGCAUAAAAAUAUCAAAAACUAAAAUAAAUGGCCUAUUUUUACAAGUCCGAAAAAUAGUGGCUUAUUUUUGCAAAUCACACUAAGAUAAUGGCCUUCAAUAAUUUUAAACUCAACUUUUCCUAAUACAGACCCUUUAACAAUAAAUUUGAAUUGAAAAUCUGUGAGCACUUAUGCCAAAUUAAUUAUAUGAUGCCCAAUAUAACAAUAAGGACCCAAAAUAACAUAAUAAGGAACCGAGCUUCACACUUAUGGACCGAGCUCGAUUCAACUCGACUUGUAUACAUCCCUGCAUUCAACACCAUGUAAUUAACCUCAUUGUCUAUAUUUGUUCUCACAUAUACUGCACAUUCCUCACAUAUACUGCACAUUCCUUCCGAUACAGUAAAGAAACAAAAACUUCAAACUGCUCCCUCGUUACUAGCUAGUUACUCGCAAAUGGGUAGGCGUAGGAGAAAAGAUAAAUCCCACCAAGGUUCAACUAGUAAUCCUCAGGAGGAUCCCGUUGCAGAGGAGCCUGUUGAAGUAGAACCAGCUGCACCCGGAGUUCCACCCGAAAUAAUGGAAUAUGACGUUCGUUAUGAGUACAAUUCAAGUACUCUGAGUACAAUUCAAGUACUCGUCACAGAGUGGUUGCACAAUUUGAUCAAAGGCGCCCCUGAGGUGAACUGAACCACGAUGGUUGAGAUGAGUUGAAACGUGUGGGCUGAGCUGAGCUGAAGUCACUGGAUAGAUGCUGCAAAAAAUAAUGGAACAAUUUACUAAAUAUGAAAUUCAAGGUAAAGACAAGUAAAGAGUAUACAAACAGAAAUUUAAUAAAAACUAAAGUAUAUAUGCCUGCUGUCGCGUUGGCAAAAUGACAAUCGACUUUUCAUGAUUGGCCGCUCCAGUGUAAUAUUUGUUAUCUUCCACACCAAUAGCUCUAAAUUCAGCUUUACCAUUCACCAACACUCUUGUGAAAUGUGGCCUUAUCUCAUUAAUGAUAAAAGGCGCACCACUUUGACGAAUGCUAGUGUAUAUCUCAGGAUACACAGGUGCGCCAAUCUCCUUUCCAAAUAUUUUCAGUUCCAUCAUCACAUUUUUAGCAUACUUGGAUGCAUCCUUCAGCGUCAUGGGCACUCCAACAGGAAUACCAAAAUCUGAAAAAACAAAUUAAAAUCAAAAGACAUAACAACUACAACAAUUUAAGAUCACAAAUAGAUAGACUGUAACUUACUAUCUGGUAUUGCAUUUCUCAAUGCAAGUCCAUAAUAUAGAUACAUUGUGGAUUUUAUGCCGGCAGGCUUGCCGUGCCAAUUCCACCCUUUGAUUAUCAGUCUCUUGGCAGCCAUCAGACAUGUUGGAUUCUUCAAAUCAGGCCAAACUUCUAAUACCUCUUCUUUGUACUUGUCAAACAUCUAAAACAAAAAUUAGUUAAAUACAAAUAUAUGAUUAAAAAUAGUUGCAUAUAUAUAUAUAUAUAUACCAAAGAUACCUUAUUGAAGUUAGGCUCGUCAAAAAGUUUAUCAUGAUUAUUUUUCAAUUGUUCAUAUGUAAGAAUAGGUCUUGGAGUGGGCCAUAAACCGUGCGUGUACAUCGUCUCCUUGAGCUCCUCUAUCUUAGCUCCACGCAUCGUGAAGGGCCAACGCACCGAAAAUGUGAAGCGCUUGGGACCAAUAUCUUUAUAAUACUCGUCCAUACGUACCUCCUCAAAUAUGUCACAAUUCAUAUUCUCCCGC
rnacentral:lncRNA from 1 species